UGAAAAAUAGUACGUCACAUGACUGGAAUGAAAAUUAAACAAUUUUAAUAACAAUAGGAAAUAGCUUAGUGGAUACAAUGAUCAAGUUUCUGUUAUUUACCAUUGUUUUAGGUAUUGUCAACGCUAUAUCGAAUACUACAAAUCUGUGUCAAGAGAUUAUGACAAUGGAUUGUACUGUUUCUUACACACCUGGCACACAAGAUGAAACGAUUUACGGAACGGACGGUGUUACAUAUAAAAACAUGUGUUUCUACUCCCAAUCAAGAUGCAAUGAUAAAACUCUACAGCCGAAACACACAGGGGCUUGUAUUCUCACCACCACAAUUUCGACUACAUCUG